AGAGUUUGAUCCUGGCUCAGGAUGAACGCUAGCGACAGGCUUAACACAUGCAAGUCGAGGGGCAGCGGGGGAGCGGCAACGCUCCCGCCGGCGACCGGCGCACGGGUGAGUAACACGUAUGCAAUCCACCCCGGGCAGGGGGAUAAUCGGAAGAAAUUCCGUCUAAUACCGCGUAACACCGAUUAAGGGCAUCCUUUUUCGGUCAAAGGUGGCGACACCGGCCCGGGACGAGCAUGCGGCGCAUUAGCCAGUUGGCGGGGCAACGGCCCACCAAAGCAACGAUGCGUAGGGGUUCUGAGAGGAAGGUCCCCCACACUGGUACUGAGACACGGACCAGACUCCUACGGGAGGCAGCAGUGAGGAAUAUUGGUCAAUGGGCGAGAGCCUGAACCAGCCAAGUCGCGUGAGGGAAGACGGUCCUAUGGAUUGUAAACCUCUUUAGCCGGGGAGCAAGGGGCGCCACGCGUGGCGUCUCGGAGAGUACCCGGACAAUAAGCAUCGGCUAACUCCGUGCCAGCAGCCGCGGUAACACGGAGGAUGCGAGCGUUAUCCGGAUUUAUUGGGUUUAAAGGGUGCGUAGGCGGACAGACAAGUCAGCGGUAAAAUUGCGGCGCUCAACGCCGUAGUGCCGUUGAAACUGUCGGUCUUGAGUGAACGAGAAGUGAGCGGAAUGCGUGGUGUAGCGGUGAAAUGCUUAGAUAUCACGCAGAACUCCGAUUGCGAAGGCAGCUCACCGGCGUUCAACUGACGCUGAAGCACGAAAGCGUGGGGAUCGAACAGGAUUAGAUACCCUGGUAGUCCACGCCGUAAACGAUGAAUGCAAGCCGUGCGG
rnacentral:rRNA from 1 species